rnacentral:lncRNA from 1 species
UGAGAAGUUUCUACAAAAGACAAGUUAAAACAAACAAACAAAAAAAACCAGGCUGUAACAAGGACAUAAUUGAGGGGACAAAGGCAGAUACGUCUUAUUAUUUAGUCUGAAGUAGGAAUUGGUUGCUUAAAACCUUUAUUAUAUUUUUAAAUUGGUAAAUGCAGUGUAAUUUUCUAUAGAUAUAACCAUUGGUUAAAACUGAGGUUUUAUAAAAUUAUUUUAAUAAAUUCUGAUAACCCAUUUAUGUCUUUUAUUCCAAGAAAUCUAAUUCUGCAUGUCAAGUUCCAAGUGAGUAGCCCAAGAGAAUACACUUAAAUGUAUCCACCUAUUAUGUACCAAAGUAAAAAACAUACAUGUUUGUGGUUCUGCAUUAGAAGUGGAAAAGUUGGAUCUGCAUCUCCAAUCUGUACUUGCCAAAGAUUCUGAUAUUUCCCAAGUCUAUGCAAAUAUACAUAGAUUUUCCUCCAUCAGGUAUAAAGAACAUGUGUGAAGAUGAAAUAACUCAGCACAAGAAUGUAUUCAUACAACAUUCGUGUGGAAAAUUUGAGAAGUAUAAGACGGCAUAAAUUUUCUAAAAUAUAGAAAAGAAAGAAGCUGUUGAAACAGUC